rnacentral:rRNA from 1 species
GAUGAACGCUGGCGGCGUGCUUAACACAUGCAAGUCGAGCGAUUUUCUUCGGAAGAGAGCGGCGGACGGGUGAGUAACGCGUGGGUAACCUACCCUGUACACACGGAUAACAUACCGAAAGGUAUGCUAAUACGGGAUAAUGUAUGAAAGUCGCAUGGCUUUUGUAUCAAAGCUCCGGCGGUACAGGAUGGACCCGCGUCUGAUUAGCUAGUUGGUAAGGUAACGGCUUACCAAGGCAACGAUCAGUAGCCGACCUGAGAGGGUGAUCGGCCACACUGGAACUGAGACACGGUCCAGACUCCUACGGGAGGCAG